ensembl:lncRNA
GACAGGAGAGAGCUUCCCCCAUCCACUAUCAAAUAACUAUUCAGUGCUUUCCAAACUCACCUGUUUAUUCAUGAAUGGGGCACAGCUGUGAGCAGCACAGGCUGCUGGGACAGCAAGUUGUGAAGAGCCUUGCUGGCCAGCUGGCAUUUUUUGCUAGAGGUUCUUUUUAUAACUGGUCACUGGAGGUAAAACUGGAGUGAAUUUGGAUUGGGUGUCUGCAUUUCAGCCGGAAGCCUCUCCAAGGAGGAAAGAGCUCAAGGGUCCUUUGCCUCUCAGCUGGUGUCACUUCAUGCUGCAGGUGAAGCAAAUCAGCCAAGAGGUAUCUCAUGACUCUGCCUUCCUGCUUCAAGCCAGUGAAGGUUUCUGUGAAGGACCACUCAGCUUCAGGGACUGAGUGAAGUCUAACCACCCCACUGACUCAGCCCUGCAAUGCUCAGCAGCCAAGAGGAAGAACAAGCAGAUGAUGCCCUAGUUGACAUCAGAGAGUCAACAGCAAAGGCAGGAGAAAAGCCUUAAUUCCUGAGUACUUUCUCUUCAUUGUAGAUUUCUGUUGGGAAAUAUAUUCACACAUAUGCAUUAACCUGGAUAUUUCCAGUGCUUUAAAUUAAAAAUGAACUGACUUUUUUUUUCUUUUGCUUGGCUUCUAGUGUUGUAAAUAUGUUCAUUUCUCUGUGUUCUUAAUGAAAGUGGCUUUCUUCCUCUGCCAGUUUUUUUUUCCUCUGU